rnacentral:rRNA from 1 species
AGAGUUUGAUCAUGGCUCAGGAUGAACGCUAGCGACAGGCUUAACACAUGCAAGUCGAGGGGCAGCAUAAAAGUAGCAAUACUUGGUGGCGACCGGCGCACGGGUGAGUAACGCGUAUGCAACCUACCUAUCAGAGGGGAAUAACCCGGCGAAAGUCGGACUAAUACCGCAUAAAACAGGGGCACCGCAUGGUGAUAUUUGUUAAAGAAAUUCGCUGAUAGAUGGGCAUGCGUUCCAUUAGGUAGUUGGUGAGGUAACGGCUCACCAAGCCGACGAUGGAUAGGGGAACUGAGAGGUUGGUCCCCCACACUGGUACUGAGACACGGACCAGACUCCUACGGGAGGCAGCAGUGAGGAAUAUUGGUCAAUGGGCGGGAGCCUGAACCAGCCAAGUCGCGUGAAAGGAAGAAGGAUCUAUGGUUCGUAAACUUCUUUUGCAGGGGAAUAAAGUGCAGGACGUGUCCUGUUUUGUAUGUACCCUGAGAAUAAGGAUCGGCUAACUCCGUGCCAGCCGCAGC